GGGAAUAUUGGGCAAUGGAGGAAACUCUGACCCAGCGACGCCGCGUGCGGGAUGAAGGCCUUCGGGUUGUAAACCGCUUUCAGUAGGGAAGAAGCGAAAGUGACGGUACCUACAGAAGAAGCACCGGCUAACUAUGUGCCAGCAGCCGCGGUAAUACAUAGGGUGCAAGCGUUGUCCGGAAUUAUUGGGCGUAAAGAGCUCGUAGGUGGUUCGUUACGUCGGAUGUGAAAAUCUGGGGCUCAACCCCAGACCUGCAUCCGAUACGGUCGAGCUAGAGUUUGGUAGGGGAGACUGGAAUUCCUGGUGUAGCGGUGGAAUGCGCAGAUAUCAGGAGGAACACCAAUGGCGAAGGCAGGUCUCUGGGCCAAUACUGACACUGAGGAGCGAAAGCGUGGGGAGCGAACAGGAUUA
rnacentral:rRNA from 1 species